rnacentral:lncRNA from 1 species
CGAGCAUAGCGUAGCGAUUUACUGCUAGGUGGUUUGUUGCGGGCUGAGCUUGUACUUGACAGCGGGGGGCGGCUCGACACAUGGCGGGUGGUGCCUGUACGAACCGACCCCGGCUUUGUCCGGGGGAUGAGGUAGUUUCGAAACCUUCGGCCUCGGACAUUGCACCAACGUGGCGUGGCCGCACAGCCCAAUUUUCCCCUGGAGACCUGCCUUGUCCGCACCCGUGGUUGUUGGCUUCCAGGAGUGGCAUGACUCCUUGGCGGGUCUACCAAGUGGAGUAGCUGCAAAGACAGCUUGUGACGGCGUUCUGCCUUUGAGAGAAGUCAGUGUUGUGCUUGAGGGGGCGAUCACUCGCAUUGCAUAGCUGAGCCGUGCUGGGCAGGCGGGCGAGGGGGAGGGGGAGGGGGAGGGGCGGUGGUGGACUGGAGGUAGGACUGGAGGUACGGGAGGAGGUAGGGCAGGCGGUAGCGGCGGUAGGGGAGGCAGGAGCGCUGGGUGGUGGAGCGCUGGCACUGGCGCAGGCGGGGGCUGUUGAGGGUCAGACCCAGGGGUGCAGGCGGCGGCAUUUUGAUUUGCGUGUCGGCACGGCGUGUUCACUUGAAUGCAGUCAGGUGGAGGCAAGGCUUGACGUGUAUUGAGUGAUUCGGUUAUGCGGACAGUCACGCGGAAACGCGGGUGUAGCGCCGAGCUGGGGGACACGAGGCGCCGAGCCGGGGGUGCGGGGCGCCAGUCCAGAGCGUGGGGGCCAUCGUCGCGAGGCCCAGGCAUCGCGGAUGAGACAGGUAAGGCCAGCACGCCAAAUAUUCUGGUGGAGCGCCGAGCGCGGACACUACAUUGCUUAAUUACCCGCAUUGCUGCGUCGCAAACGCUCUUUCAGUCAGUGCCAACGAUACUGCCCCGCGCGGUUGCGCGUUCUUACCUGCUUUCCUGCGCGAACGAAACGGCAGCCCUUAGGAUUCCUAUUAAAUGUGAUUCAUAUCACCACUCGCACAUUUUACCACAGGCCUACAGCUCGUCGCUGGCUGGCCUAUGUUGCUGACGCGGCUGAGUCGACCCGCGGCAGCAGGUACACUGCUUCUGCGUGGUUGCAAUAAUUUAGGACUGCGCUAGAGUGCAAGCGCGGCGCUCACGAAGCUGACCAGCCGAGGCCCGUCGCAUGCAGGCACGCCGGGCAUGCGCGCAACUCCGCAUGUGCGGCAUGGCGCCUGCCUUGGUUCACACUGGCGUGGAUGUGGAACGGCGAGCCACGGGCGCGCCUGGCGUGUCGCGGCCGCGUGCCACCUGCCCGAGGGGAGCGCGGGAGCCACCCCGGGAGUCGGGUGAGUCGGCGCCUGUUGCAGCGCCAACUGCUGUAACAUAGUUUGCGAAUGCAUGCUCGCAAGUAACAGCACCGAAUGCACCCUGCACGCAGGUCGCCGCCUGCAGCUGCAGCAGGGCAGGUGGGAAGACCCAGGGGACAAACUUUGCAACGCUUCUCAAGAAGGGCGUGUAGUGCGCGCAGGGGUUUACUAGUAUUGCGUUAAAGCUUUCAACCUGGUGAACGCUUUUCUUCAUUGUACUCAAUACCCUCGCUCUGCUGACAGGUGAGGCAGCAUACUGAUGCCCUGCGCCCCGCCCACCAACUCGAGGUCACGGCCUACCUCCAAUACCAGCCAGGCCGCUAGCUUGCCCGCCGCUACCUCGUGCACGUGUGGCGGCAGCCCGGGAGGCAGCACGCACUUCGCCACACUGGCCGCAUCCUUCAGGACCACGCUUCCGCGGGCGCCGUUGUUGGAGGCCGUCUCCUGCUUCUGCUGCUCGCGAUCACGCAGCGCCCUGCCCACGACGGCCUUCACUAGUAUUGCGGUUGUGUCUUCAAUCCGGCGAAGGCUUGUCAUAACAGGGUUCAGCUUCCGAUCGAGCAUCGCCGCGAAAGCUUUAGCGCAAUACUAGUGGAGGCCGUCGCGGGCAGGGCGCUGCGUGAUCACGAGCAGCAGAAGCAGGAGGCGGCCUCCAACAACGGCGCCCGCGGAAGCGUGGUCCUGAAGGAUGCGGCCAGUGUGGUGAAGUGCGUGCUGCCUCCCGGGCUGCCGCCACACGUGCACGAGGUGGCGGCGGGCAAGCUGGCGGCCUGGAUGGUAGAGGAGGUAGGCCGUGACCUUGAGUUGGUGGGCGGGGCGCAGGGCAUCAGUAUGCUGCCUCACCUGUCAGCAGAGCGAGGGUAUUGGCGUGCAUGUGAUGCAUGCCCCAGGGGCAUGUAUGGAUGCCCGAUGGGUGCCUAGACAGCAGGCACAGUCCGUGCUGGCGGCCGUCUCUGCCCUACCGCGCCAUGUAACAGCGCCGCACCCGCCAUGCAGGACCGGGGCCUACGUGCUAUCCUGGAGUCGGAGCUGCGUGCGGUCCCUUCCAGGCUCACCAAUAAAGCAAACGCGCAGUGGAAGGCGGCAGCGGCGAGUGCCGCCCAGGUGUGCGACUGGGGCGGGACGGGAUGAGUAGGGGGUUGCUUGCGGGCUGGGCUUGUGCUCCGUGCUGCACGCUGCUGUGUGCUGUGGUUCGAGCAUGUGUGCAUGGAUUCAUCAAAAGCAGUUGGCAAAAGGCCAAACACCCAGGGCAUUGCGCCAGCGGCUUAUGGCACUGCCUUUGUAAGUUUCAGCCGCGAGCCAGCCCACGCACGACAUCCUUGCCGUUGCUGGUCGUGCGUGGUCGUGCAGUGGCAAGUAAAACCCCGAAGCCCCUCCUGCCAUGCUCCGUCUGAUGAUGUCGUGUGCAGGCGGCAUUGGCAGUGCUGCAAGGUGCUGCGUGUGGGCAGCAGAACUACUCGCCGGCGCUGGACGCCCUCAAGUGCUGCGCGGACCGCCUGCCUGUCUCCCUGCAGCUGCUGGACACCUAUGCCACCAGUGACCGGGACACGGCCCUGGCGCUGAUGCGCGGCGAGCUGUGCGUGGCCGCCCUGACGGCGCUGCACCCGCUCAGCAGCGGCGAGGCCUCCUCGACCGCCACACAGCUGCAGGUGGACCGCCUGCUGCCGCUGCGCGUGUGUGCAGAGACCGGCGGCGGUAAAGGCGGCAGCAACAGUCGCAGCGGCAGCGGCAGUGGGGGCGGGGACGGCGACGGCGACGGCAGCGGGGACGGAAGCGGGGACGGCGAGGGCGAGGGCAACGGCGGCAGCACCUCUGGGCCCCGUGUUGGACCCGGGGUCACGGCCGUGCUGGAGAUCCAGCAGAUCAAGUCCAGCAGCGCAGGUACGUGGGUGUUGCGAGUGCGCUUGAAGACAUGGACCGGGCAUGCAUGGGCGGGGCGACCGUAUAUGUGGAAAGCGCACGUCCGCCCCACAGCUGGAGCGUUCCUUUGGCCCUAAUCAUGGCGCCGCGUGCACGUGUAGGCGUUUUGUGCUCGUGUUCUCGGUAAUUGCGUGUUGUCUGGGCGGGCAUAUGUCAACUCCAGAAUUGUCCGUCCACUUUCAUAAAAUUUCAGGCGGUUGAGGCUCGGUUAACAUGCUCCCUGGCCCGGUACGACACAGGUCUUUCGACGGCGCGGGCGCAAGUGGCCCUGUGCGGCCGCAUCUUUGCGUGCACGUAUAGCGUCCUACGGGAGCGGCUGUCGGAGGCGUUGGCCAACGCCGAGGUGCAGCUGCCGCCGGAGCUGCGGCUGCAGGCCACGAUCGCGCUCGGCCAGGACGGCGAGCCCGGAGCCAGCGAGGAGCAGCGCCCGCCGCAGCUGGAGCUGUCCACCGCCGACGGCGGCCGGCCCCUGAUGCAGAUGCAGUACUUGGUCCUGGCGGCGGAGACGCUGGUGCCCUGGGUGCCGGGCCGGCAGCAGUGAGUGGGCGGGCCUCGGCCUCGGCAGUGGAUGGCUGGGGGGCACGGGACGACCAGGCAGCGGCGGUGGCACUCGGCACGCCUGCUGCAACCGUGUCACGCAGCAUACCUAGCAAUCAAGCGGCCAGCCGUUGAUGCUCACGCCGCCGCUAGCUGGGCUGCGGCGCGCUGUGGCGGCGGCAGCAGCGGCGACCGGGCAGUGGGCGCUGCUCACAGCUUCGUUGGGGUGUACGGCAGCGCUGGCGGCGCGGGCCACGGUCGUGGGCGGUGGUUGGGACCGCAGACACAGCUGACGCGGUGAUGUAGCGGUGUACACGGGGCGAGGGCCUCUGAGACCGAUCGCUGUGUUGCUUCCCCCGACAGUGCCAUGGCACGGCAGGGGCUUUAGGGUGGAGGGUAAGUGUGUGAGGAGAGCGAGGGAGUUCUUUUAUGUGCGGCACGUCUUGAAGGUGUUUGCUAGUGUAGCGGCUGGUGCGAGGGUAAGGCACGUUCGUGUUAGAUACACCGUUGACUCCAAUGUGUCUGACCCUUACUGGCGGGCGUUGUGCCACCAGGGAACCCGGGGCACCACCACAAAGGCCCCGGGAGUGCCGCCAGGAACGCAUACAUCUGUUUGUUCUGGCGCAAUUUGCAAAGACAGUAUGCAGGAUUGACCUUUUAAAUGCCUGGUUUUUACUAUGGCGCUGUGUUUGAAAUGCAGUGAGGGGGUGGUGGGGUGGUCAUACUAUCUGCGUGCCCACGUUUUUGCACUGCCGGGGCUGGGUAGGCCUGCUGUUUGCUGCACAUGAUGCAAUGGAUGGCGGUGGAGCGCGGCGGCGGCGCACGGCCUGUGCCCAGCAGCGGCGGCGUGCAUGUGCGCAGCAGAGCCGGCAGGCAUGGCCACGUGGAGGAGGAGAGCGGUGCGCUGCCUGAGCAGCGGCGCCGUCGCGCAGGUUUAGAAGUGCUGGUGUCUGGUCUUUGUGGCGAGCAUAGCGUAGCAUAGCGUAGCAUAGCGUAGCAUAGCGUAGCAUAGCGUAGCAUAGCGUAGCAUAGCGUAGCGAUUUACUGCUAUUUGGUUUGUUGCGGGCUGAGCUUGUACUUGACAGCGGGGUGCGGCUCGACACAUGGCGGGUGGUGCCUGUACGAACCGACCCCGGCUUUGUCCGGGGGAUGAGGUAGUUUCGAAACCUUCGGCCUCGGACAUUGCACCAACGUGGCGUGGCCGCACAGCUCAAUUUUCCCCUGGAGACUUGUUUUGUCCGCAGCCGUGGUUGUUGGCUUCCAGGAGUGGCAUGACUCCUUGACGGGUCUAAUAAGUGGAGUAGCUGCUAAGACAGCUUGU